rnacentral:rRNA from 1 species
GAUGAACGCUGGCGGCGUGCCUAAUACAUGCAAGUCGAGCGAACAGACGAGGAGCUUGCUCCUCUGACGUUAGCGGCGGGCGGGUGAGUAACACGUGGAUAACCUACCUAUAAGACUGGGAUAACUUCGGGAAACCGGAGCUAAUACCGGAUAAUAUAUUGAACCGCAUGGUUCAAUAGUGAAAGACGGUUUUGCUGUCACUUAUAGAUGGAUCCGCGCCGCAUUGGCUAGUUGGUAAGGUAACGGCUUACCAAGGCAACGAUGCGUAGCCGACCUGAGAGGGUGAUCGGCCACACUGGAACUGAGACACGGUCCAGACUCCUACGGGAGGCAGCAGUAGGGAAUCUUCCGCAAAGGGCGAAAGCCUGACGGAGCAACGCCGCGUGAGUGAUGAAGGUCUUCGGAUCGUAAAACUCUGUUAUUAGGGAAGAACAAAUGUGUAAGUAACUAUGCACGUCGUGACGGUACCUAAUCAGAAAGCCACGGCUAACUACGUG